rnacentral:rRNA from 1 species
GACGAACGCUGGCGGCGUGCUUAACACAUGCCAGUCGAACGGAAAGGCCCUGCUUUUGUGGGGUGCUCGAGUGGCGAACGGGUGAGUAACACGUGAGUAACCUGCCCUUGACUUUGGGAUAACUUCAGGAAACUGGGGCUAAUACCGGAUAGGAGCUCCUGCUGCAUGGUGGGGGUUGGAAAGUUUCGGCGGUUGGGGAUGGACUCGCGGCUUAUCAGCUUGUUGGUGGGGUAGUGGCUUACCAAGGCUUUGACGGGUAGCCGGCCUGAGAGGGUGACCGGCCACAUUGGGACUGAGAUACGGCCCAGACUCCUACGGGAGGCAGCAGUGGGGAAUAUUGCACAAUGGGCGGAAGCCUAAUGCAGCAACGCCGCGUGCGGGAUGACGGCCUUCGGGUUGUAAACCGCUUUCGCCUGUGGCGAAGCGUGAGUGACGGUAAUGGGUAAAGAAGCACCGGCUAACUACGUG